CAAAGGAAGUUGACGGGGCCCGGCACAAGCGGUGGAGUAUGUGGUUUAAUUCGAUGCAACGCGAAGAACCUUACCUGGUCUUGACAUCCCGGAGACCCUUAGGAAACUAGGGGGUGCUUCCAUCUGGAAGAAUCUGGAGACAGGUGCUGCAUGGCUGUCGUCAGCUCGUGUCGUGAGAUGUUGGGUUAAGUCCCGCAACGAGCGCAACCCUUGCCUUUAGUUGCCAGCAGUUCGGCUGGGCACUCUAAAGGGACUGCCGGUGUUAAACCGGAGGAAGUGGGGAUGACGUCAAGUCCUCAUGGCCUUUAUGACCAGGGCUACACACGUACUACAAUGGCCGAUACAAAGGGCAGCGACACUGCGAGGUGAAGCCAAUCCCGUAAAAUCGGUCUCAGUCCGGAUUGGAGUCUGCAACUCGACUCCAUGAAGUUGGAAUCGCUAGUAAUCGUGGAUCAGCAUGCCACGGUGAAUACGUUCCCGGGCCUU
rnacentral:rRNA from 1 species